CGCCGAGCAAUUUCUUCCGUUUCUAGAACAGUAGAACGCUCUUUCUCAUUGUUAUUCACUCUUUUGAAAGAGACUGAAGAAUGUGAAACCAAAAUGAAUGUGUUAAAUGUGAUGUCGCUUCUCAUCGAAUUACUGGGGAACCAAAUGAAGCCUUUUCUCGGUACGUUGCUGCAAAUCCUUCCCGCUUUAUGGGAUGCUUCUGAGGAACACAAUCUUCUACGGUGCGCUAUUAUUAGCACCCUCGUUCAUGUUGUUAAGGGAGUAGGAAGUAAUACUGAAGAUCUGCUUCAUUGUCUGCUACCAGUUGUUUUCCUUAUUUGUUUAGAACUAGGAUCUGAAAAUCUCAUUAUAUGCUGUGAUAUUCUUAUAAUCGUAAUUUUUCACUAGUAGAUGGAACAAGGAUUCCUUAACCUUAUUUCCUAGAUGGGGAAUUUAUUUUAGCGAUGCGGUCGUUUUCCAUGUGUUUUUAUGGAAUUUAAUGUCAGAAUAUGUUUCUUUGUGUCUCCCAUCAGUCUAAUAUGGAGUUUAAAAAUUUUUUAAAUGUUCAAGCUGCAAUAUGUAACAAAUCAAUACUAAAUGAGAACUCG
rnacentral:lncRNA from 1 species